rnacentral:rRNA from 1 species
AGAGUUUGAUCAUGGCUCAGAUUGAACGCUGGCGGUAGGCUUAACACAUGCAAGUCGUGCGAGAAAGUACCUUCGGGUGCGAGUAGAGCGGCGGACGGGUGAGUAACGCGUAGGAAUCUACCUAGUAGAAGGGGAUAGCCCGGGGAAACUCGGAUUAAUACCGUAUACCUCCUUAGGGAGAAAGAGGGCUUAGCUUUGAUGCUCUCGCUACUAGAUGAGCCUGCGUAAGAUUAGCUUGUUGGUGAGGUAAUGGCUCACCAAGGCGACGAUCUUUAGCUGGUCUGAGAGGACGAUCAGCCACAUUGGGACUGAGACACGGCCCAAACUCCUACGGGAGGCAGCAGUGGGGAAUCUUGCACAAUGGAGGAAACUCUGAUGCAGCGAUGCCGCGUGAAUGAAGAAGGCCUUUGGGUUGUAAAGCUCUUUCGUCGGGGAAGAAAAUGACUGUACCCGAAUAAGAAGGUCCGGCUAACUUCGUGCCAGCAGCCGCGGUAAUACGAAGGGACCUAGCGUAGUUCGGAAUUACUGGGCUUAAAGAGUUCGUAGGUGGUUGAAAAAGUUGGUGGUGAAAUCCCAGAGCUUAACUCUGGAACUGCCAUCAAAACUUUUCAGCUAGAGUAUGAUAGAGGAAAGCAGAAUUUCUAGUGUAGAGGUGAAAUUCGUAGAUAUUAGAAAGAAUACCAAUUGCGAAGGCAGCUUUCUGGAUCAUUACUGACACUGAGGAACGAAAGCAUGGGUAGCGAAGAGGAUUAGAUACCCUCGUAGUCCAUGCCGUAAACGAUGUGUGUUAGACGUUGGAAAUUUAUUUUUCAGUGUCGCAGCGAAAGCGAUAAACACACCGCCCUGGGGAGUACGACCGCAAGGUUAAAACUCAAUGAAUUGACGGGACCCGCACAAGUAGUGGAGCAUGUGGUUUAAUUCGAAGAUACGCGCAGAACCUUACCACACUUGACAUGUUCGUCGCGACUCUAAGAGAUUAGAGUUUUCGGUUCGGCCGGACGAAACACAGGUGCUGCAUGGCUGUCGUCAGCUCGUGUCGUGAGAUGUUGGGUUAAGUCCCGCAACGAGCGCAACCCUCACUUUUAGUUGCCAUCAUUUAGUUGGGCACUCUGAAAGAACUGCCAGUGAUAAGCUGGAGGAAGGUGGGGAUGACGUCAAGUCCUCAUGGCCCUUACGUGUUGGGCUACACACGUGCUACAAUGGUAUCUACAACAGGAAGCAAGACUGCGAAGUUAAGCAAAUCCUCAAAAGAUACCUCAGUUCGGAUUGCACUCUGCAACUCGAGUGCAUGAAGCUGGAAUUACUAGUAAUCGUGGAUCAGCGUGCCACGGUGAAUGCGUUCCCGGGUCUUGUACACACCGCCCGUCACACCAUGGGAGUUGGUUCUACCUUAAGGCAAGGUUUCAAACCCUUGACCACGGUAUAGACAGCGACUGGGGUGAAGUCGUAACAAGGUAACCG